rnacentral:rRNA from 1 species
GACGAACGCUGGCGGCGUGCCUAAUACAUGCAAGUUGAGCGCUGAAGGUUGGUACUUGUACCAACUGGAUGAGCAGCGAACGGGUGAGUAACGCGUGGGGAAUCUGCCUUUGAGCGGGGGACAACAUUUGGAAACGAAUGCUAAUACCGCAUAAAAACUUUAAACACAAGUUUUAAGUUUGAAAGAUGCAAUUGCAUCACUCAAAGAUGAUCCCGCGUUGUAUUAGCUAGUUGGUGAGGUAAAGGCUCACCAAGGCGAUGAUACAUAGCCGACCUGAGAGGGUGAUCGGCCACAUUGGGACUGAGACACGGCCCAAACUCCUACGGGAGGCAGCAGUAGGGAAUCUUCGGCAAUAGACGAAAGUCUGACCGAGCAACGCCGCGUGAGUGAAGAAGGUUUUCGGAUCGUAAAACUCUGUUGGUAGAGAAGAACGUUGGUGAGAGUGGAAAGCUCAUCAAGUGACGGUAACUACGCAGAAAGGGACGGCUAACUACGUG